UUCAUAUAGCCGACCCCACUUAGUGGGAAAAGGCUUUGUUGUUGUUGUUGUUGUUGUUGUAUAUGAUUGGAUGUCAUCCCCUUUUAGAGGAAAGAUGCAGGAGGGACAGCGGCACAGAUUGGCCUAAGAUUUCUCACAUUCCAAACUUCAUAAUUGAGACCUGAGACAAUACUUGGAUUGAAACUACGCAACUGGAACGAUGUAGUGCAGUAGGUGCAAGCAGAGGCCAGAAAUUAGGUAAACGAAUCUUCAGUUGCUAUGCUAGAUGAUAUUUCCAAGCAUUGUACUAUGACAAGUUUAAAUCUGCUAGAAGGUCUGCAAUAAUGGAAGAAAUUGAAAAAAAAAAUGGCCAUUGGCACGUUCUGGGAGGAGCUCAAUUUCUAUCCUGAUGUUCAAGCUGGAUCACUGAAACUUGAAUCGUUACGUUUGAACAAGUGGCCAUUGCUCAAGUCUCUGCCUCAUCAAAUUCAACACUUCACUUCUUUAACUGCUUUAUGUAUCGACUAUUUGAGGGAGUGAAGGCUUUACCAGAGUGGUUGGGUCAAAGCCAUGCAACACCUCACCAAUUUACUUCGCACUGAACUAAGCAACGACGCUCUUACUCAAAAAUGUGCAGUAGGUGCAAGCAGAGUCUAGCAAGCUCAUUGGACUUUGAUAUCACUCAUGAGAAUCUUCAAGGGCUUUUUUCGUUCAUCGAACUCACUAUGCCUUAGCGGUGGCAGGGUAUGCUGUCGAGGAUGUAAAAUUCUACCGGAUAGGAAAAGAAAAUGCUAGAGGAGAGCUUCUACUUGCUGUUGGCACUAAGUUGGAUCAUGUGAUUUCCCAAAUGUCUCGCGAGGAUGCUGAGAAAAAUACGAUGCCAACGAAUUCGGACUCAACUGUUCAUCCUUCUGCGGAUUAUCCUUCGUUCCACUGGCCCAGACUUGUUUCUCCUUGUGAUUUUAAUUCAGCAACUCUUCUCAACUGGCAUUUUCUUCGUUAGCUUCGAUUGACAAUCGAGAGUAACAACUUCUGACGAACCGGAGGACCUGUGGAGUUCCUCGAUUAGUGGCAUUGUGAAUCUGAAACUGUUGAACCAUUUUCAAUUUUUUUAUUUCUCACCAAAUUCUUUUCAAUUGCAUUGUUUCUUCAAUAUGUGAGAAGGAUUGAAAUUUGUUGUCUAUAUUUUUCUUAAGUUGUUUUGGUAUUAUAUUUGUAAGGGGAGCAUUGGGAUUCCGAUCAACACCCAUGCAUGGAUUCUCCCAACGUAUAAUCACGAUGAAAAAUUUAUAAUCCGGAUUGUUAAACUUUU